UCCAAGUAUAGAGAUAGUCAAUGCUCUACCCACGAUGAACUGGGCCGAAAAACGCAUACUUGCGGUGCGUUCAUCUUCCGGUCUUUCCUUUUCCAUUCGCGCCCGCAAGCGGCUGGCUGUACCGAAUUGCUGCUGCUGAUUGCAUUUCGGCGAAAAGUGCGAGUGUGACUAGUGAAGUGUAAAAAAGUUGAUUCUGUGAUACGGAACAGACGAGUCUUGUGCGCGAUACAGAAAAUAUCGGUAUCUGAUGAUUCAAUAUGAGCAAAAGCAUAAGGCGUCGCAGUAUUUUGCUUCCAAAGAUCACCAUGAACAUCCUUCAACCCUGGUUUGCUCGAUCAUCUUCAAACAGUUAUCAUUCAACUCAACUCAAGAAAGUUCCCGGACGUGAUUUUAUGGUCUAUAAGCGAUCGGUCGCUUCAUUAUCCGGAAGAGUUCUGAGGAGUACCCCCUGAUGGGCGAGAAAAGCUGUCCAGGAAACUGGAUUGAGCAGCUAGAGCGCACCAGAGCAUGAGAACCCCUAAAAUCUCCCCAACCGCUCCCUCCCCGAAUCCCCGUCUCUUCACACCUGUUUUCGCCUGUAGUGACAAAAGCCACCC